rnacentral:rRNA from 1 species
GACGAACGCUGGCGGCGUGCUUAACACAUGCAAGUCGAACGGAAAGGCCCUGCUUUUGUUGGGUUCUCGAUUGGCGAACGGGUGAGUAUCACGUGAGUAACCUGCCCUUGACUUUGUGGUAUCUUCAGGAAACUGGGGCGAAUAUCGGAUAGGAUCUCCUGCUGCAUGUGGGUCGUUGGAAAGUUUCGGCGGUUGGGGAUGGACUCGCUGCUUAUCAGCUUGUUGGUGGGGUAGUGGCUUACCAAGGCUUUGACGGGUAGCCGGCCUGAGAGGGUGACCGGCCACCAUAGGCCUGAGAUACGGCCCAGACUCCUACGGGAGGCAGAAGUGGGGAAUAUUGCACAAUGGGCGGAAGCGUGAUGCAGCAACGCCGCGUGCGGGAUGACGGCCUUCGGGUUGUAAACAGCUUUCGCAUGUAACGAAGAGUGAGUGACGGUAAUGGGUAAAGAAGCAACGGCUAACUACGUG